rnacentral:rRNA from 1 species
AUUGAACGCUGGCGGCAUGCCUUACACAUGCAAGUCGAACGGUAACAGGUCUUCGGAUGCUGACGAGUGGCGAACGGGUGAGUAAUACAUCGGAACGUGCCCGAUCGUGGGGGAUAACGGAGCGAAAGCUUUGCUAAUACCGCAUACGAUCUACGGAUGAAAGCAGGGGACCGCAAGGCCUUGCGCGGACGGAGCGGCCGAUGGCAGAUUAGGUAGUUGGUGGGAUAAAAGCUUACCAAGCCGACGGUCUGUAGCUGGUCUGAGAGGACGACCAGCCACCCUGGGACUGAGACACGGCCCAGACUCCUACGGGAGGCAGCAGUGGGGAAUUUUGGACAAUGGGCGAAAGCCUGAUCCAGCCAUGCCGCGUGCAGGAUGAAGGCCUUCGGGUUGUAAACUGCUUUUGUACGGAACGAAAAGACUCUUUCUAAUAAAGAGGGUCCAUGACGGUACCGUAAGAAUAAGCACCGGCUAACUACGUGCCAGCCGCCGCGGUAAAAC